rnacentral:rRNA from 1 species
UACAGAGGGUGCGAGCGUUGUCCGGAAUCACUGGGCGUAAAGGGCGCGUAGGCGGCUUGGUAAGUAGGGGGUGAAAUCUUGCGGCUCAACUGCAAGGCUGCCUCCCUAAACUGUCAGGCUUGAGCACAGUAGAGGCAGGUGGAAUUCCCGGUGUAGCGGUGGAAUGCGUAGAGAUCGGGAAGAACAUCGGUGGCGAAGGCGGCCUGCUGGGCUGUUGCUGACGCUGAGGCGCGACAGCGUGGGGAGCAAACAGG